AUUGAACGCUGGCGGCAUGCUUUACACAUGCAAGUCGAACGGUAACAGGCCGCAAGGUGCUGACGAGUGGCGAACGGGUGAGUAAUGCAUCGGAACGUGCCCAGUCGUGGGGGAUAACGCAGCGAAAGCUGCGCUAAUACCGCAUACGAUCUAUGGAUGAAAGCGGGGGACCGUAAGGCCUCGCGCGAUUGGAGCGGCCGAUGUCAGAUUAGGUAGUUGGUGGGGUAAAGGCUCACCAAGCCAACGAUCUGUAGCUGGUCUGAGAGGACGACCCGCCACACUGGGACUGAGACACGGCCCAGAAUCCUACGGGAGGCAGCAGUGGGGAAUUUUGGACAAUGGGCGCAAGCCUGAUCCAGCAAUGCCGCGUGCAGGAAGAAGGCCUUCGGGUUGUAAACUGCUUUUGUACGGAACGAAACGGUCCUGGUUAAUACCCGGGGCUAAUGACGGUACCGUAAGAAUAAGCACCGGCUAACUACGUGCCAGCAGCCGCCGUAACAC
rnacentral:rRNA from 1 species